CCUACGGGAGGCAGCAGUGGGGAAUAUUGGGCAAUGGAGGAAACUCUGACCCAGCAACGCCGCGUGAAUGAUGAAGGUCUUCGGAUUGUAAAGUUCUUUUCUAAGGGAAGAAGAAAGUGACGGUACCUUAGGAAUAAGCCUCGGCUAACUACGUGCCAGCAGCCGCGGUAAUACGUAGGAGGCAAGCGUUAUCCGGAAUGACUUGGCGUAAAGGGGGCGGAGGUGGUUUGACAAGUUGGUAGCGUAACUCCGGGGCUCAACCUCGGCACUACUACCAAAACUGUCGGACGUGAGUGCAGGAGGGGCAAAUGGAAUUCCUAGUGUAGCGGUGGAAUGCGUAGAUAUUAGGAGGAACACCAGUGGCGAAGGCGAUUUGCUGGACUGUAACUGACACUGAGGCACGAAAGCGUGGGGAGCAAACAGGAUUAGAUACCCUGGUAGUC
rnacentral:rRNA from 1 species